rnacentral:sRNA from 1 species
AUAAUGCCCGCGUGAGGGAUAGUAGUGGAGCUCUUUUUUCUUGAUUUUUCAUCAAGAAAAAAAGCGGGAACGAAUAGCCCGACCCGAC